rnacentral:rRNA from 1 species
AAUGAACGUUGGCGGCGUGGAUUAGGCAUGCAAGUCGUGCGGAAAGGCCCUUCGGGGUACUCAAGCGGCGAAAGGGAGAGUAACGCGUGGAUUAUCUACCCUCAGGACCGGGAUAGCCGGGGGAAACCCCGGGUAAUACCGGAUAAUGUCUGCGGACCAAAGGUGUGAGUCCGCCUGGGGAUGAGUCCGCGUCCUACUAGCUAGUUGGUGAGGUAAUGGCUCACCAAGGCUACGAUGGGUACGGGGUGUGAGAGCACGACCCCGCUCACUGGGACUGAGACACUGCCCAGACACCUACGGGUGGCAG